AGCUUUUACCAGGGGAGCCAAUGGGGCUGAGAAAGGGCUUUACGCACCUGACCCUUAACCAGAUCGGGAUAAUGCCCGCGUGGGGAGUGUAGUGCUUCUUAGAC
rnacentral:ncRNA from 2 species